UGUAUGUAAUGACUUCUGACAGCAGUGGAGACACAGUGAAGAGCAUGUCUGUCUUUGCAUGAGUAUUUCUGCAUCUAUUCUUGAGAACCACAUUCCAAUUCUGGAAUCGUUAUUAUACACGAGUCGCCACGAGCAACCGCAUGUACAGGACGCUGAACUUACCGGAGAAAGACUCCUUCCAAACAAACGGGUGGCGCCAGUUGAAGCCCUGUGUGUUGCAGCUGCAGAUCCUAGUACGUUUUCCUUCACUGCUACCCAACACGACCAGAUCACCUCCCGAGGAACACUCCACUGGGGUUUUAAUAUCCUUAUCUGAAGAAGAAAACAAUGUUUAAAGUGCAUGUGUGCGUAGGAUUGUUAAUGGGGCUGCAAGUAGCCUAGUGGUUAGAGCGGUGGGCCAAUAACCGAAAGGUUGCUGGAUUGAAUCCCCGCGCUGACAAGGUAAAAAAAAAAUGUCGUUCUGCCCCUGAGCAAGGCAGUUAACCCACUGUUCCUUGUGUACUGUGGAUGUUGAUUACGGUAGCCCCCCACACCUCUUUGAUUCAGAGGGGUUGGGUUAAUUGCCGAAGACACAUUUCAGUUGAAUGCAUUCAGUUGUACAACUGUGGCUGUGCCUGGCUUGCAUUUGUGCACUUCCCAUCCAGCAGGGCCAGAGUGCCCCUGUUGUGUCAGGGUGUAAGGGGUCUACGCAAACAGAGCCAAAGGAAGUCUGUACAUUUGUGCGGCUGAAUUUCUGGAACGCAACACAAACUGAUCUCCUUCGGCUCCGUUUGCGUAGAGCUCUUUACACUUGCACAUACUGUACUCAGCCUCGUACUCCCGAGUGGCUCUCUGCACGUUAAGCCUCCUGGUGUUGGCAUUGGGAAUGCUCAGUGGGAUCAGGGUCUGGAUGGGCUCCGGCUGACAGUGGAGACAGACAGGAAGAGAGCAAACUGACUUACUGUAACAUUCAGUUUGUUUCGGUUCAGUUCUAUUCCAUUCGACUUUCCGCCUCUGACUGCAGUCAUUACCGUAUCCACCAGCGCCUUGCCCUCCUCAUCUGAGGAGACAGAGCCAUUGGAGUUGGGAAGGAGGGUGGGUGUUGAGUGUGUGCAUGUUUUACUAUACUUGUGAGUAACAGAAGUCCUUACAAGAAGAGUAAACCAACAGAAAUUCAGACAAGUGAGGACAUUUUGUCGACCUUAAAAAGGCUAUUUCUGACUUAGGGUUAGCGUUAGAAUUAGCUUUCAAAUUAGGGUUAGGUUUAGGGUCAGGAGUUAUCAUUAGGAUUAGGGUUAAGGUUAGGGAAAAUCGUUUUUUUUUUACGGGAAUCAAUUGCUGGUCCCCAAAAAUCCUCACAAGUAUAGUAACACAGUUGUGGGUGUGGUCAGGAUCAACAUUGUAGUUGCCCAUUAAAUCUAUUAGUGGCCUCUGGAUGACCCCUCUGAGGUUAAAUGUCACCAUAACUCAAGACUUAGCACCCUGAGAGACCUUCUCCUGAGGCUGGUGGCUGUAACUCAGCUAAAGGCCCGUCCAAAUGAUCGAAUAAUCUAUGGUUCCCUCUGACCCAGCUCUGACUGUUAUUAUGGUAUGGGCCUGGAACUGAGGGAGCGAACAGAUAAGGAAUGAGCAUAUAACGAGACGUUUGUCCUUCACUCUGGAGUAGAUUGAUGCAAGCCUCUGAGGAUCGUGU
rnacentral:lncRNA from 1 species